GUUGACCUCGGAUCAGGUAGGAAUACCC
rnacentral:ncRNA from 7 species